GGAUAAUCCCAGGUGACUGGGGAAAGAGCGGAUCAGGCUGGUUGGCACGCUCCCUCAGAACUUCGUGGCGCAAGCCAGGAAGGCAAGAGGCAGAAUUCACCAGCUCCUCUGGCGGCGUUCGCGCGCUGUCAGAAACGCGAAGUAGGAGUUGGGCAGCGAGGCACGAUGAGAAACCGUGCCGAGUUGAGUCAAGUAGUCCGGGCUGGUUUCGAGCCCGAACGAAUCGCAGUUACCCAGAGGGUAANNGGUUGCUACUGUGAGCCAGCACGGAGCGGACAACUCUGGCGGCCCCGACCCACGGGGUCAGCCCAAAGAAAGACGCCGAAAGGCGGAACAAAGGGAGUGUCCGAGCCGGGAAGACCACUGGACUAGGCAAGCCCAGUGAAAACUUUCAAAACGCCGGCGAUGCUAAAAACGGCACCGCUGGCUUGUGAGCGAAAAGCAACCUGAGAGGUAAGAGGUCAGACCCGUGGCACGGGGCCAACGCGCCGCCAAAAGCGGUGGCCGACCCCGCGCAAACUGGUGAAGACGCGAAGCAAAGAUUACAAACGUGUCUUAACCUGGUCCGCAAGCCGGUGGCGCAACCAUCAGCCGAAACGGGCUAAGAGGCCUCACUCAAAAUCGGGUGUCCGUAAGGCGCCCGACGGCCCUGCUACGAGGCCGAAGACUCCGCUUGCCGUGGAGAAUAGCGUCGGGAAGCCGGCAGCCAACCAAGGCGCCUAAUGUCGGCGAUGGGAAAGAGAGCGUGGCGAACUCC
rnacentral:sRNA from 12 species